rnacentral:lncRNA from 1 species
GGAAACUCUGACCAUUCCUACUAUUGUGUGUGAGGAAACAACCAUUCCUGCAACCUUAGGUCAAGAAACUCCUACCCUUCCUGCAACCUUGGGUGAAGGAACUCAUAGUAUUCCCUCAACCUCGAGUGAAGAAAAUCAUAUCAUUCCCACUAACCUGGAUGAAGAAACUCCUACUGAUCCAGUGACCUUGGCAGAGGAAAGGCCAAGUAUUCCUGAAACCUUGGGUGAAGAAACCCCAACCGUUCCUCUGACAUUCAGUGAAGAAACUCCGGUUAUUCCUCCAUCAUUCAGCGAAGGAGCUACUAUUCCUCCUUCCUUCAAUGAGGGAAGUCCUACUGUUCCUGUAACAUUGGGUCCAGAAACUCAGACCAUUCCUACAACCACGGGUGAGGAAACUGCAAACAUUCCUGCAACCUCAGGUGAGGAAACUACAAGUGCUCCUGUGACCCUACAUGAGGAAACUCUGGCUAUUCCGACAACUUUGGCUGAGAACAGUCCAACUAUGACCGCAAAAUUGGAUGAGGAAACUCCAACCAGUCCCACAAACUUAGCUGAGGAAACUU